UGUACUUGAAUACACAGCCGCAGUAAAAUCGAAAUGGGAAAAUAUAUAAAACAAGUUAUAAACAGUUUUGUUCUAUUUAGAUCAAUCAAUUCUAUCGGUCCGGGAGAGUCGGCGCGGUUGGUUUCCCAUCAGGGAUCAUGUGAACCUCAUAAAAAAUUUUAGCUUGUUUCAGAACUGGAUUAACUUCAUGGCGGAAGCUCGGACAUGUAUUCCAAAAAAGGAAAGGAAAAUAGAUUUUGGAUUCUGUUGCGUGCAUCAGACGAUAAAGCGAAUAACACGAACAAUGCUUCAAAUUCCGGUUUCCAAAUAGGCAUCCUUUCACUGUAAAAGAAUUCGAAACGAAUGAAAUAAGAAGGGAAAUUGGUCCAAUAGCUAGGGACGCCUUUGGAUGUUUUGCAUACUAUUGGUCACUUAGCAAAAAGACGUGGUUUUGCCGUUCAUGACAGGAGCCACUACGCUUCUACCAGGCCACUAAAGAAAAGAUUUCAUGGUCCAAAAAGAUUGCAUUUCUCAAAAGAAUAGGAAUGGCGCCCAAGUGUAGCGUCGUUGUUUACAAUUUUUGGAAUGCCUGCAUUCAAAAUCAACWAAAGGGAAUAACUUGUAGUGCAUAUUUGACAGCUAUCACUCAUAGUAUCUCAGACGAUGGCAUCCUUCAACACCGAACAGCCAAAUAUGUCAAAACCCAUCAUUAGCAAUAGAAAAAUUAGCUACGAUUUCCUUAAAUACAUAAAAAAGGAAUUAUUAUAUGUAAUAAAGUGUUAAACUGCGA